AUUGAACGCUGGCGGCAUGCUUUACACAUGCAAGUCGAACGGUAACAGGCCUUCGGGUGCUGACGAGUGGCGAACGGGUGAGAAAUGCAUCGGAACGUACCCAGAGGUGGGGGAUAACGCAGCGAAAGCUGUGCUAAUACUGCAUGUGAUCUGAGGAUGAAAGCGGGGGACCGAGCAGCAAUGUUUGGCCUCGCGCCUUUGGAGCGGCCGAUGUCGGAUUAGCUAGUUGGUGGGGUAAAGGCCUACCAAGGCGACGAUCCGUAGCUGGUCUGAGAGGACGACCAGCCACACUGGGACUGAGACACGGCCCAGACUCCUACGGGAGGCAGCAGUGGGGAAUUUUGGACAAUGGGCGCAAGCCUGAUCCAGCAAUGCCGCGUGCGGGAAGAAGGCCUUCGGGUUGUAAACCGCUUUUGGCAGGAACGAAACGGUGUCCGCUAAUACCGGGCGCUAAUGACGGUACCUGCAGAAUAAGCACCGGCUAACUACGUG
rnacentral:rRNA from 1 species